AGGUGUCACGGCUAUGGGGCCGGUGUUCCGCGUUCCUCCCCCGGCUCCAUGCGGAGCUGGCGGAUCGUAGCGGUGCCGCGCUCGCCAGCGGUUAAUAUCGGAGGAAUUUGUUCUGGAAGCGGUGCCCGCUCGGAGUUUCCAGCAAAUCCUGGAGCCCUCCCAGGCAUUUAAUCUCGGCGAAGGAAAUGAGAUAUCCAAAUCGGUUUCCCCACCUUCCUCUUGCCAUGAGAGCUCCUCAGCCGAGGUCUGGGUUUUGCGGCAGAAAGCAUCAGGUGGCUGAUGAUGAUGAUGAUGAUGAUGAUGAAAGAGCAAAUGACCGAGAGAGAAGCACCGAGCUCUCCUGGCAUGAAAGCAGACCCUCCUGCAGACUGCCCUUUGCCUCGAUGGAAAAACAUCUGCAAGUUUUUAUCCCUAGCUGAUGCCAUUCAUACACGUGUUUGUAAGCUGCACCUCCUCCUGACACCCCACACAGUGCUACCAAGCACCACUUUCCCAAGAAAUGUGAAAACUCGGCUGUCUUCAUUAAUAGGAGUACUUCUCCAACACCUCAUUGCCUGUUUUACGAGUGUUCCUGGUCUGUGUAGCCAGCUAUCACCCAACCACAGCCACAUCUUCUUUUCCUGCUUAGGAGGGAAGCAGCAGAGCUGGGAUGCCGGCAUAGAUGGGAUAAAUAGCAACAAAGAACACAGCACAUCUCCUCUGUUGGAUGUCACACAUUAAGUACUCCUAGCAGUGAUGCUUUGCUGUGGUCCAUGAGGACAAGAUGGAGUUUCAGGGAAUAACAAAUGAGAAGAUUUCGUGCACAGAAGUUUAAGAAAGCUGCAAACUGCAGGUGGACAAGCAUGCUAAAUUCAAGAGUGACUCAUAUGCUGUGUGAUGUCUGUUGGGCUCAAGCUGCAGGUCCCUCAAAAUCAGGGUUUUAUCGCACAGAAAUGAGCAGGUUUUUAUUGUGAGCUGCGACCACCAAUUCCUUACACGUUAGUGCUGGCAGAAAGUGGGUUAGAAAUGAAAGGAACAAUUUUAGACAUAUGGUGAUCUGGCAAAGCGCUCUGAAAUUUUAAUUAUGCUGUGGAAAGGUCAGGGCUGGAUCUGUGCUGGUGGAGGGAUAAUUUGCUUUUGUAGUUUACGAACAUGCCUUUCCAAAAUGAAAGGACUGAGAGCUGAAAAAUAAAGCGAAUGUCUCCUGUGCAGGCAGUUGAUUCUGAUCUGCUUUUAGAACAGCUUUGCAGAGUCAGGGCCAUCUCCAGGAUAAGAAGAGUAAGAAAUCUCCUUCCCUAACCCUGUUUUCAGAGGGGUAAGCUUGUAAAGAGAGGGUAACACUCCCUCAUUCAAAGGCCAAAUAUUAAGCACCAUCCCUAAAUUCAAAUGCAGCUCUUGAAAUAUCCUCAUCCUUUUCCAAUAUGAUGUUUGUUCACUGAGAGCAGCGGUGCUUGGUGCUGCACGUACCCGGGCAGUGGAACAUAACCCCGGAGCCUACAAGGAUGAGGCAGGCCCAGAAACAGAGAGGUGAAGUGGUUUACUUAAAGAUAAGGCUCAUCUCUCCCACCCCCCCAGCUAGAACCAGCUCCUUGAUUGCUUUAUCCCUGCGCACUUCCACUGACCUUGAUUUUUCACGUCGCUGGAGGGAUUCCAAAUGGCUUUGCUUUGCCAUGGGCAGGGCUCCUUUUUUUUUGCCUGGCUACCCACCUAUGUGUACCCGCUGCAGCACUGAUGGAAAAGGAAUCAGAGAACCAUCAAAGGAACAUGGGGUUGGUGCAGGGGCUGCAUGUGGAUCAGCACUGAUGGCCUUGGGCCUGGAGGGAUGUGUGCACGAAGUGGGUGAUGGAUCAGGUGGGAUGUAGAGCUGUAGGCUGGCCCUGUUAUAAGGAGCUGUUAUAAGGAGAUUAGAAAUUGUAAAGGAUGGGUAAAAUAGGGGACUGGGUGUUGAAGGAGAUAGGGAAGGGCUUAAUAGGAGCUGGGGAAAUUGGGCCCUGCUCAACAGUGAGGUCCUCCUCUCCAUGCCCAUGCCAGGAACUGGGAAGUGAAAUUGUGCAAAGUCUGGGGCCAGGGGGAGGAAAGAAGCAAAAAGAGAAAGAAAUCCAAGCUAAGAAGAAGGAGAA